GUGGACAUGAUUUGAAGAAAAAUGCUGCAAUGGGUCAUUUUCUUUCAGCAUUUCUGGCAUCAUCUGGCAAGUGAGAAACAGAGAUUGGUCAACACCUGCCUGGAUUGCAGGAGGAGCGGGUAAAGAAACAGCUGCAAAUGUGUUGCUGGUCAAAGCACAGCAGGCCAGGCAGCAUCUCAGGAAUACAGAAUUCGACGUUUCGAGCAUAAGCCCUUCAUCAGGAUAAGAGAGAGAGCCAAGCAGGCUAAGAUAAAAGUUCACGGCAGCAGUAUCAACUUCUCAAGGGCAACUAGGGACGGACAAUAAAGACACCCUCAUCCCAUGAGCGAAUUUUAAAAAUCGCACCGCUGACAACUCAGCACAUCUUCAACAUAACACUAACACGAAAUUGUCAAGCUAAACCGAGACUUUGCUGCAUUAGUUGCUGCCCCUGUUGUUGUUGCUGCAGCUGGAUUUACUGGUGCUGGAAUAGCAGCUGGAUCCAUCGGAGCACAAAUGAUGUCUGCGGCAGCAGUGGCUAAUGGAGGAGGGGUAGCAGCAGGCGGCAUUGUAGCAACUCUCCAGUCUAUUGGAGCUGCUGGAAUCUCGACUGCUGGUGCUGCUGCCGUAGGAAGUGUCGGUGCCUUGGGUGGUUAUGCAGCAAAAGCAGUUUUUCAGGAUUCUGAAGAUGAGCCCUAAAGCCCAUGAGCUGUUUUAAAGUAGAUACUUAGAAGGAAUUAGUGAGGAUUUAUCUAUUAGAUGAAGGACUGAAAUAAUCAUAUCCUAUAAGAAGGUAAUAAGCAAUGAAAUAUUUUCUGCUGACUAUAAAUGAAUAACUUUGAAAUAUUUUUAAUUUUAGUAUGGAUGUUUCUAUUCUCUUUCUGCUAUUUUGAUGCCCUGUUAGCUAUUUUCUCAAUUAGAAGUGGAUUAAAAAACCUUCAGAUGUUGUCGUUCUAUAGCUGGUCAUAGAGUAAAUGCAAACAUUCAGAUUGAUGCCUACAUUAAAUAGAAAUGACAAGUGUCUGUGAUGCUGACGGCGUCAUGCUGAAUGUAAUACCAGUGCCACUGCAGUUCACUGCAAGAAUGAAAUUUGUCUGUCUGGAGUAAGGCUUAUGCCCGAAACGUCGAUUCUCCUGCUCCUCGGAUGCUGCCUGGCCUGCUGUGAUUUUCCAGCACCACAUUUUUCAACUCUGACUCCAGCAUCUGCAGUCCUCACUUUCUCCUAGGGCAUUUUAAGGUUAUCUUCAAAAUGUUACAAGAUCCAUUUGUCGCAAUAUCUCCUCUUAUGUAUCA